rfam:Colius striatus contig45701, whole genome shotgun sequence.
UAACAGGCUCUAUUAGGAGCUACUCAUGGUGACUGAGAUAAAAUA